rnacentral:rRNA from 1 species
UACGGGAUGCAGCAUGGGGGAAUUUCUCCGCAAUGGGCGAAAGCCUGACGGAGCAACGCCGCGUGAUGGAUGAAGGCUUCUGGGCUGUAAACCUCUUUUAUCAAGGAAGAAGAUCUGACGGUACUUGAUGAAUAAGCCACGGCUAAUUCCGUGCCAGCAGCCGCGGUAAU